rnacentral:rRNA from 1 species
UCCAUGAGUAAAGUGGCGACCGGGUGAGUAACACGUGACUAACCUACCCCUAAAGUGGGGGAAUAACCUCGGGAAACCGAGGCUAAUACCGCAUAACAUCGCAAGAUCAAAGCAGCAAUGCGCUUGAAGAGGGGGUCGCGGCUGAUUAGCUAGUUGGCGGGGUAACGGCCCACCAAGGCGAAGAUCGGUAGCCGGCCUGAGAGGGCGCACGGCCACACUGGAACUGAAACACGGUCCAG